GAGUGGUCUAAGAACCAUAUUGUGGGUUUCGGAAGAGUGGUCUAAGUACCAUAUCGAGGUGUCAUUCUCGAGCGAUUUCUGGCAGUGCAGCCUUUAAUCGUACAGUAAGAAUCUGGGCUGUUUUAUCCUGGAGACGGCGCGGUUGCUAGUCUACCUUGCACAAUUCAGGUAGUGCCGCGAAACGUCUUAAAGAGAGCGACCUGGUCGUGACUCAUCCCGGUAAUAGUUUCAAAAGCUCCAUCGUAUAUUUUCAAAUUACAAAAACAACAUUCUGAUCCCAAUGAUGAUGUUGAGGUUCCGGUUCCGGAUGAUGAGAUCAAAUAUAUGCGUGGUGGAGGAGUACUAA
rnacentral:lncRNA from 1 species